CAUGCAAGUCGAGCGGUAGCACAGAGAGCUUGCUCUCGGGUGACGAGCGGCGGACGGGUGAGUAAUGUCUGGGAAACUGCCUGAUGGAGGGGGAUAACUACUGGAAACGGUAGCUAAUACCGCAUAACGUCGCAAGACCAAAGUGGGGGACCUUCGGGCCUCAUGCCAUCAGAUGUGCCCAGAUGGGAUUAGCUGGUAGGUGGGGUAACGGCUCACCUAGGCGACGAUCCCUAGCUGGUCUGAGAGGAUGACCAGCCACACUGGAACUGAGACACGGUCCAGACUCCUACGGGAGGCAGCAGUGGGGAAUAUUGCACAAUGGGCGCAAGCCUGAUGCAGCCAUGCCGCGUGUGUGAAGAAGGCCUUCGGGUUGUAAAGCACUUUCAGCGGGGAGGAAGGCGGUGAGGUUAAUAACCUCAUCGAUUGACGUUACCCGCAGAAGAAGCACCGGCUAACUCCGUGCCAGCAGCCGCGGUAAUACGGAGGGUGCAAGCGUUAAUCGGAAUUACUGGGCGUAAAGCGCACGCAGGCGGUCUGUCAAGUCGGAUGUGAAAUCCCCGGGCUCAACCUGGGAACUGCAUUCGAAACUGGCAGGCUAGAGUCUUGUAGAGGGGGGUAGAAUUCCAGGUGUAGCGGUGAAAUGCGUAGAGAUCUGGAGGAAUACCGGUGGCGAAGGCGGCCCCCUGGACAAAGACUGACGCUCAGGUGCGAAAGCGUGGGGAGCAAACAGGAUUAGAUACCCUGGUAGUCCACGCUGUAAACGAUGUCGAUUUGUAAGGUUGUGCCCUUGAGGCGUGGCUUCCGGAGCUAACGCGUUAAAUCGACCGCCUGGGGAGUACGGCCGCAAGGUUAAAACUCAAAUGAAUUGACGGGGGCCCGCACAAGCGGUGGAGCAUGUGGUUUAAUUCGAUGCAACGCGAAGAACCUUACCUGGUCUUGACAUCCACAGAACUUAGCAGAGAUGCUUUGGUGCCUUCGGGAACUGUGAGACAGGUGCUGCAUGGCUGUCGUCAGCUCGUGUUGUGAAAUGUUGGGUUAAGUCCCGCAACGAGCGCAACCCUUAUCCUUUGUUGCCAGCGGUUAGGCCGGGAACUCAAAGGAGACUGCCAGUGAUAAACUGGAGGAAGGUGGGGAUGACGUCAAGUCAUCAUGGCCCUUACGACCAGGGCUACACACGUGCUACAAUGGCAUAUACAAAGAGAAGCGACCUCGCGAGAGCAAGCGGACCUCAUAAAGUAUGUCGUAGUCCGGAUUGGAGUCUGCAACUCGACUCCAUGAAGUCGGAAUCGCUAGUAAUCGUAGAUCAGAAUGCUACGGUGAAUACGUUCCCGGGCCUUGUACACACCGCCCGUCACACCAUGGGAGUGGGUUGCAAAAGAAGUAGGUAGCUUAACCUUCGGGAGGGCGCUUACCAC
rnacentral:rRNA from 1 species